GGCGUGGCUCAAUGGUAGAGCAUGUAUUUUUUGCCUACAGAAGAUCUCAGGUUCAAUUUCUGGCAUCUCCU
rnacentral:tRNA from 1 species